UACGGAGGGGGCUAGCGUUGUUCGGAAUUACUGGGCGUAAAGCGCACGUAGGCGGCUUUGCAAGUUAGAGGUGAAAGCCCGGGGCUCAACUCCGGAAUUGCCUUUAAAACUGCAUCGCUAGAAUUGUGGAGAGGUAAGUGGAAUUCCGAGUGUAGAGGUGAAAUUCGUAGAUAUUCGGAAGAACAUCAGUGGCGAAGGCGACUUACUGGACACAUAUUGACGCUGAGGUGCGAAAGCGUGGGGAGCAAACAGG
rnacentral:rRNA from 1 species